rnacentral:rRNA from 1 species
UCUUUAAUGGAGAGUUUGAUCCUGGCUCAGGACGAACGCUGGCGGCGUGCCUAAUACAUGCAAGUCGAGCGGGGUUGUUGUGGAAGCUUGCUUCUACAAC